GGGGCUAUAGCUCAGAGGUAGAGCGCUCGCUUUCCAUGCGAGAAGCCCAGGUUCGAUCCCCGGUACCUCCA
rnacentral:tRNA from 1 species